UUUCAACACCUGCGCGUGGAGCUUGUGAAGACCUGUAUAAAUGAAGGAAAUCCCAUUCAAUGUGAUCUCUGAGUUUUGAACUCCUACAUUGACCAUCCAAUCCACCGGCAGAUCAGCAUGCAAAACACAAAUGCGGGUGACCGGCAUUGACGACCUUUUCAGUCGAUACACACUUUCUGCAUCAGAAUAAUGAGCAAGCUGUCAGAAACCAUCAGUUGUCAGUGGCCAGAGUCUGGUGGUCACUUCGCUGCAUGCUCACACACACUCAGACCUUCAGGGGCUCUGAAGCCUGAAGCACAAUUCGGAGGGGCAUCAAAGGCACAAAGCUGUCAUGACUAUUUAGCUUCAUCUCACGACAGACUAACAUCCUAUUUUCGUCUCUCGCUCUUCAUUUUUUCAAAUUACAUUCAGUGCAUAUGUGUGUGCGAUGAUGCGGCUGCAUGUAUAUGUGCUUGUUUCUUAACCUUCAACCACAUUUAUGUCCCUGGGG